rnacentral:rRNA from 1 species
GACGAACGCUGGCGGCAUGCCUAAUACAUGCAAGUCGAGCGAACAGAUGAAGUGCUUGCACUUCUGACGUUAGCGGCGAACGGGUGAGUAACACGUAAGGGAUCUACCUAUAAGCGGGGGAUAACAUUCGGAAACGGGUGCUAAUACCGCAUAAUAUCUUCUUCCGCAUGGAAGAAGAUUGAAAGACGGCUCUGCUGUCACUUAUAGAUGACCUUGCGGUGCAUUAGUUAGUUGGUGGGGUAAUGGCCUACCAAGACGAUGAUGCAUAGCCGACCUGAGAGGGUGAUCGGGCACAUUGGGACUGAGACACGGCACAAACUCCUACGGGAGGCAGCAGUAGGGAAUCUUCCGCAAUGGGCGAAAGCCUGACGGAGCAAUGCCGCGUGAGUGAAGAAGGCCUUCGGGUCGUAAAACUCUGUUAUAAGAGAAGAACAAAUUGUAGAGUAACUGCUACAGUCUUGACGGUAUCUUAUCAGAAAGCCACGGCUAACUACGUGCCAGCCGCCGCAGUAA